AGAGUUUGAUCCUGGCUCAGAGCGAACGCUGGCGGCAGGCUUAACACAUGCAAGUCGAGCGGGCGUAGCAAUACGUCAGCGGCAGACGGGUGAGUAACGCGUGGGAACGUACCUUUUGGUUCGGAACAACACAGGGAAACUUGUGCUAAUACCGGAUAAGCCCUUACGGGGAAAGAUUUAUCGCCGAAAGAUCGGCCCGCGUCUGAUUAGCUAGUUGGUAGGGUAAUGGCCUACCAAGGCGACGAUCAGUAGCUGAUCUGAGAGGAUGAUCAGCCACAUUGGGACUGAGACACGGCCCAAACUCCUACGGGAGGCAGCAGUGGGGAAUAUUGGACAAUGGGGGCAACCCUGAUCCAGCCAUGCCGCGUGAGUGAUGAAGGCCCUAGGGUUGUAAAGCUCUUUUGUGCGGGAAGAUAAUGACGGUACCGCAAGAAUAAGCCCCGGCUAACUUCGUG
rnacentral:rRNA from 1 species